AGUAGACGCAACAACAGCAUCGACUUGACCAAAGUAACCUCCUCCUCGGCAUGAGCGGCUCAUCAGCCAUUGCCCAUCCAAUCCGCCCAACCUCGCAUCUCCCUUCCCCCGAGGAGUGGCAGAGCUCGCCUCCCUCGCGUCAUCGUCCUCGUCGGCAUGAGCGGUUUCCUCGCUGUGGCCGGCAAGAUUGUCACGUUCCUGCUGUGGGUGCUCUUCCUGAUCCUGCAGACAGCCACCAAGGUUGUUGGGGGCCUCCUGCAGGUUGCACCGCCAGUCGAGGCACGGGAAGAGCCGCAACCAGAAGCAGCACCACGACCCAGAUCGCCGCCGGCUGCGAGGAACAGCGCCGGCGGCGGCCCCGCGGACCCAUACGAUCCAUGGUCACAGCCGUGGGACCCACCACCGUCCCCCCACAUCGCUCCGUUGACGGAUGAAUAUCACUCGUCCUCAAUCUACCGGCGGCGGGUGAGCGCUCCGCAGGCCGCUGAGGAUUUGGUGGUUUCCUCCAGCAGUUACUCUCGUUCGGCCGUGGCAGCAGUGCCAGCCUCUCUGGCUCAUGCUGUCUCAGCGCCACCAGUGUCGCGGACAAUUAAGACACCGGCAGUUGCCAGUAAGCGGUCCAAGCUGGAGAGGAAGUACUCCAAGAUUGUGGACCAGUACCGCUCCUUGGAUGAGGUUAUUGAAGCAUUAGCGCAAGCUGGCCUCGAGUCUUCCAAUUUAAUCAUUGGAAUUGAUUUCACGAGAAGUAAUGAUGGACAGGAAAGAGGUCAUUCAAUGGUGUGAGCCUGCAUCAUAUUGGUGAUGCCCCCAAUCCUUACGAGCAGGCAAUCUCCAUCAUUGGACAAACACUGUCAGCUUUUGAUGAGGAUAACUUAAUUCCGUGCUAUGGUUUUGGAGAUGCAUCUACUCAUGACCAAGAUGUAUUUGGCUUCAAUCCUGACGAAAGACCAUGCUAUGGGUUUCAGGAGGCUUUGGCUCGAUAUAGAGAAAUUGUUCCUCAUCUUCGUCUUUCCGGUCCUACAUCAUUUUCUCCAAUAAUUGAAAUGGCCACAACCAUUGUUGAGCAAAGCGGUGGCCAAUACCAUGUUUUAGUAAUAAUCGCCGAUGGACAAGUCACACGAAGUGUUAACACUGAAUUUGGUCAAUUAAGUACCCAAGAGCAGAUGACUGUAGAUGCUAUUGUGCAAGCCAGUGAAUUUCCUUUGUCUAUAAUUCUGGUCGGAGUUGGAGAUGGUCCUUGGGACAUGAUGAAUGAAUUUGAUGACAACAUUCCUGCUAGAUCUUUUGACAAUUUCCAGUUUGUCAACUUCACUGGAAUCAUGUCAAAAAAGAUCAGUCAAAGCAACAAGGAGACAGAGUUUGCCCUUUCAGCACUCAUGGAAAUACCUUUGCAGUACAAAGCAACAUUACAGCUUGGAAUACUGGGGCGUCGACUUGCAAAGUCUCCAGAGCAAGUUCCACUUCCUCCUCCUUUCGCAAGUUAUAAUACCACCUCAAGAGCAGCACCAUCUUGGGCAAAUAACUUCCAAAGUGUGCCUUCUAAUCUUAGGGAGGAGGCAACUUUAGAUUCAACAAUCACACCGUCAGUUACACCCCCACCAGCUGCAGAUGCUAGAGCAUCGGAACUCCAAUUCUGCCCAGUUUGCCUUGCCAAACCCCGGGACAUGGCAUUUGGUUGUGGUCAUCAGACUUGUUCAGGGUGUGGACCGCAGGUCGCGGACUGCCCCAUCUGUCGAAGGCCAAUUGAUACAAGAGUAAAACUAUACUAACAGCCUCACAUGCCUAACUAGGUUUGACUGAAGUACGCUGGAGUGUUGGAAGUAGAAUCCAUGGAAAAGAAAAAGAACUCUGUUUGUACUGUAGCUUGUACCGUAAAGAAAAUGAAUAACAGUUGUGUACUGCUCUGUGUUAUAUGUCAUCAGUUCAGUACCUAGAACGGGCACUACUGCAAAACUAGUAGCCAGUGGCAGGCAAAAAUAACCAAGCCCCUAUAUCCGGGGAAGUUUUUGGUUUUACGUCUCCCACUUGUUUGACUGCAACGUUUGAGCGUACGGAGCCUCGACGCGUGUAUUAGUUUGGGAGCUUGG
rnacentral:rRNA from 1 species